CCCAGUUUGGGUGCUCGGUCUCCUCGAGCUAUCGCCGGCCUGGGAAGUUCAGCCCCAUCGAAGUGUCCGCCGCAGAGGCCGCUCUGGAGCAUUCCAAACAAUUCCUGCGCCUGGAAAGCUGACCGCCCAGCCCGGGGCCGGUCCCGGUCCCGCCUCUCCCAGAGGAGGGCUAACAGUGGUGACCAGCGACAUCGCACAGGUUUCGGGAGCUGCGAGCGAUGCACCGCCUGGCACCCCGGCCAGCCCGCCGGCUGGUUUCGGUCCUGGCACCCUUCGCCUCUGUUGAGUCUCGCGGGCGGCGACCCAGGUGCGACCCGGGCUCCCUCAGCUUCAAGCACUUGUCUCGCGGGAAGGACCGUCCGCGCGGUCGCCCAGCUCCCGGGCGCGGCUCCUGUAGCUGGGGCCCUGAGCCGCGCGCACGCCGCUCGGAUUUCAACAGGGGGCUUAGGUGGCGCGGCGCGGGGCAGGGCGGUGCUGGGCACAGCACCAGAGAAGCUGUCUCUGAGAAGCAAAGUGACGAUUCAGAACUGGUCUGCGCCGCGACCGAGGUGUUCCCGCCGCAGCGCAGCCCGCCUUCCCUAGCGGAAAGAGAGAGCCCCGCGCGCUGCGCCGGCUCGCCCGGCUGCUGUCUGCUCGCCCGCCAGCAGGGGGGGAUGCGUCCUCAUCCUUCUUCCAGGAUGCCGAGGCUGCCAGCCAGGACGGUGGGGCUCAGGCGUCCCAGCCCCGCGUCUUGGCUCGGGAUGCUGAGAUUGGCCACCGGCGGUCAACUAACCCAUGCGCCUUCCUCCUGCGGAUUAGAAGGAGGCCCUGGCUUUCGGACUCACACACCUUGGCCGUCCAAAGGUGCUUCAGCCCACCUCUUCUCAAGGAUUUCAUUUGAGACAAGCUGAGACAGUGUGAAAACUCCUUGAUGCCCUCCCACCAGUGUAGCUGAUGCCGUCCUUUCAACCAUCUGCAUUGUACAAUAUAUUACAACUCACUGCAACCCCGUGAGUCCUGCAUGUUGUGGGGGUGGAGCUCAUGCACGCCCUGUCUCCGUCUUAGGAGAGACCCCUCUGCAGAUUACACUGCCCUCUCAUCAGGCGCACAUCAGCCAG
rnacentral:lncRNA from 1 species